UAGAAAUGGCAAAAGAACGAGAAUUAGAAGUAGAGCUUGCAGAUGUGACUGAAUUGCUGUAAUCUCAUGAUAAAACUUGGAUGGAUGAGGAAUUGCUUUUCAUGGAUGUGCAAAGAAAAGUUUUUUAACUUUUAGGAUGGGG